UUCUGAAGCAGCUCGAACACCCUCAUAUGCCGUUAUUAUCUCUUUUUCAGUUGGAGUGUAAUUGGCUUCUGAUCCUCGAUAGCUCCGGCUCCAGAAACCCAGAGGUCGAGUUUCUUCUGGGGUUUUCUGCCAGAGGCUCCAGGUGAGGCCAUGCUCCCCAGCUGCAGUGUAAAGUAUGUUUUGCACAGCUGGGCUGGUACGGACAGGCCCAAGGGCUACUGCACGAGCUAUUUCUUGUUUGAUUUGUUCAAAGUCCUGUUGUUGCUCAGGGCCCUACUCGAAAUAGUUCCUCUUUCGAGUCACUCGAUAUAGAGGACUCACAAGCUGACUAUAGCCUGGAACAUGCAUUCUCCAGAAUCCCACCAGGCCUAGGAAAGCUUGCGUUUCUUUUUUGCUAGUUGGCGGAGACAUUGCCGUUAUUUUGUUGAUCACAUCCAUCAGAAUAUGACGACGUCCAUCCUGCCAUUUUACCCCCAAGAACUGGAUUUCAUGUGCAGGUCCCUUGACCUUAUUCUCACAAAAUCACAGAAUCACAGAAUCAUUUAGGUUGGAAGAGACCUCCA